AUCCUCAAACUUAAUUUCUUUCAACAAAUUUAAAUUUGUGCAGGGUUAAUUUUUGGAAAAUCUUCCUGUUAAAGGGAAAUUUUUCCUUCACUGUCACUACAUGAAUCCUCAAUAUGAGGAUUGGCUGACUUUGCUUUAACUUUAGUUUACUUGGCUUUUAACAAAUUUAAACUGGUGCACUGUUAGGUUUUUCUUUGGAAAGUCUUCCUGUUAAAGGGAAGUUUUUCCUUCACGGUCACAACAUUGAGCCUCAAUAUGAAGCAUUGCUUAAGUUUAGGUAACUUGGCUAAUGUUUGACUUAAGUUUUGGAAAGUCUUCCUGUUAAAGGGAAGUUUUUCCUUUUCACUGCAACUACAUGCGUGUUCAGCAUAAGGCAUUGCCUAAGCUUACUUUUGUAGCUUUUAACCAAUUUAAAUAAUUGGUGCAGUGUUUAUUCUACAAAAGACUUCCUGUUAAAGGGAAGUUUUUCCUUCACACUGUCACCACAUGCUUUCUCAGUGAGGCUUUGCUUUAGUUCAACACUUUUAACAAAUACUUGGCAACUGCAGUGCUUUUUUGUUUUGUAAAGUCUUCCUGUUAAAGGGAAGCUUUUCCUGUCCUGUCACCACAUGCAUCCACAGCAUAUCUAUGGUGAUGAAGAAUGGAUUGGAGUUGAUGGUUGGGGAAUUUAAGGCCUUAUCAACAACACCUGGUAUGCGGACUGAGAAGAUGAGGAAACUGAUCAACCGUUUUGUUGAGUUGGAGACUCUGAAGACAUGCAAUGGCCUCAGACAUUUGGGAAAUGUGGCUAUCAAAAUGGUCCCCAUGGUACUGGACUUGGAACUCAACAGUAGGAAAUGUGGCUUGCUUCUGCCUGUAGCCAUUCGUCAAGGAUUUGAAGUCAUCGGAUGAGUUCAAGGAAAUUGGUAACGAGUGCAACGACGCGGUCAAUUACACGCAGGAAAAAACGUGCAAAAAUGGUAUGUGAAUGGGUUGUGUUCUGAUCAUGUGUAUGGUAACUGGAAUGGAUUUUGGAUUCCCUCGCCGCAGGAAAAACGGGGUAGGCUAUAUGAAAUGCACAUGUUCUGAUUUUGGGUACAGCAAUCAGAACGGAUCUUGGAUGCGCAGGAAAAACACGGUAGGCUAUAUGAAAUGUAUGUGUUCUGAUUUUGGGUACAGCAAUCAGAACGGAUCUUGGAUACGCAGGAAAAACACGGUAGGCUAUAUGAAAUGUAUGUGUUCUGAUUUUGGGUACAGCAAUCAGAACGGAUCUUGGAUACGCAGGAAAAACACGGUAGGCUAUAUGAAAUGUAUGUGUUCUGAUCUUGGGUACUGUUUGAAAUGCGUGUUGUAAGUUAAAAAUGCAUGUGUAGAAUCCACUUGAGAAUGACAGAAAAGGCCUUCUUCGCCCCCCAACCCCUGCUGAUGGAUGAUUGUAUUGGCCCGACCACUGAGCACAGUAGCAUUUCUCAAGGAAUGCUGCAGGUAUUUUGCUGUUGAAGAGACACAACUCUGACUUUCUUUGUGAAUUGUUAAAGGGUUUGACCUGGAAUCUUCAUCUGUCCUGUUCAGGAAUGCUCCUGGACCAUCUUUGUCAUCUGAUUUCGCACUUGAUCGCCCCUAUAUCGACUGACGGAUAAGUUCUUCAUCAUCCCUUUGAACAUCGGAUGGCAGAGGACUUCAUUGCCCCCCACCUAUUGAUGGAUGACCUUAGUGACCGUACAAUCGGGCUGAGCAUUUCCUCGAGAAAUGCGGCAGGAAUCCUCCUGGAUCAUCUCAUUAAUGCCCUUCAUUGCUCCUCCAUCGACCGACGGAAAAGUUCAUCGUCCCUUUGAACAUUUGACGGAAGAGGACUUCAUCGCCCACCCAGUGAUGGAUGAUGUCAGUGACCCUACCAUUGGGCUCUGCAGGUUUUCUGGAGGAAACACUGUAAGUGUUCCCAUGUGAGCAGGAAUCAUCCUGGAUUACCUUGUUUUCGUCUGAUUUUUAUUUUUUUUUGCCAUUCAUCGCCAGGCCCCAACCACAGCUGGAAGUUGAAUUUUAUUUAUGGACUUGAUUUUAUUUAUUAGAAAUUUAAAAUGUCUUCCACUGUUAAAUGUCAGUUACAAUUGAUUGUUGGUUGAUGUUAGAAUGUGUUUGCAUUUUUAUGGACCAUUACAUUAUUUCAACUAUUGUCUCCAUAGAAGCUACACUUGGUCUGGGUUUCUGAUUGGUUGUGGUCACUUCCUGGAGAAGUGCAUUGGCUGACAUGAUGCUGCCAUCACCUACCCCUUCUCCCUCUCCUGCUGUUAACUUGUCACUUCCAGUAACGCAAAGUUUUCCUGAUCAGGUGACCAGUUGUGUCUCUGCUCUCUGAGCUCCUGUCAGUCGAGGCAGAUGGCUGCUGGUACUGAGCCCGGUUCUGGUUCUACUGGAGGUUUCUUCCUGUUAGAGGGGAGUUCUUCUCCCGUCGCUUCAUGCACGGUCUGUAUGAGGGAUCGCUGUAAAGUCAGCAACUCGACAAAAGCGAUAUGCUGUUGCCCCCUGCUGGUCAGGAGGAGUGAAUGCUGUAAGUAAUGACUCAAUGCAAUUUGAUGGUUUUCCUUUGCUACAAACAUUUAAACUACUUUAAUCAUUAACUGAGUUUAUUGUACUGUUGAAUAGCAAUUGAUAUGUGGGUCAACUAAAAUUAUGAAGUGCAUUGAGACAUUUGUUGUGAAUUUGCUCUAUAUAAAACUGAACACUUAAAACCAACUCAAAAACUGUUCAAAUCUCCAACCACCAACUCAAAAACUGUUCAAAACCCCAACCACCAACUCAAAAACUGUUCAAAACCCCAACCCAAAAAUUCACAACAAUGUUGUUAAAGCAUUUAACAAAGACAUUUCAAGUCAGCCAUAGAUUCCAAUUGGAUUCCUACUUUGGAUUACUCCUAGAUUCCUACUUAAUACAUUAU